AGUGAACGCUGGCGGUAGGCCUAACACAUGCAAGUCGAACGGCAGCACAGUAUGAGCUUGCUCUUACGGGUGGCGAGUGGCGGACGGGUGAGGAAUACAUCGGAAUCUACUUUUUCGUGGGGGAUAACGUAGGGGAACUUCCGCUAAUACCGCAUACGACCUACGGGUGAAAGCAGGGGAUCUUCGGACCUUGCGCGAUUGUAUGAGCCGAUGUCGGAUUAGCUAGUUGGCGGGGUAGAGGCCCACCAAGGCGACGAUGCGUAGGUGGUCUGAGGGGAACGUCAGCCAGACUGGAACUGAGACACGGUCCAGACUCCUAGGGGAGGCAGCAGUGGGGAAUACUGGACAAUGGGCGCAAGCCGGAUCCAGCCAUACCGCGUAGAUGAAGAAGGCCUUCGGGUGGUAGAGCCCUUAUGUUGGGAAAGAAAAACAGCAGGUUAAUACGCCACUGUUCUGACGGUACCCAAAGAAUAAGCACCGGCUAACUUCGUG
rnacentral:rRNA from 1 species